rnacentral:rRNA from 1 species
AGAGUUUGAUCCUGGCUCAGAUUGAACGCUGGCGGCAUGCCUUACACAUGCAAGUCGAACGGCAGCACGGGUGCUUGCACCUGGUGGCGAGUGGCGAACGGGUGAGUAAUACAUCGGAACAUGUCCUGUAGUGGGGGAUAGCCCGGCGAAAGCCGGAUUAAUACCGCAUACGAUCUACGGAUGAAAGCGGGGGACCUUCGGGCCUCGCGCUAUAGGGUUGGCCGAUGGCUGAUUAGCUAGUUGGUGGGGUAAAGGCCUACCAAGGCGACGAUCAGUAGCUGGUCUGAGAGGACGACCAGCCACACUGGGACUGAGACACGGCCCAGACUCCUACGGGAGGCAGCAGUGGGGAAUUUUGGACAAUGGGCGAAAGCCUGAUCCAGCAAUGCCGCGUGUGUGAAGAAGGCCUUCGGGUUGUAAAGCACUUUUGUCCGGAAAGAAAUCCUUGGCUCUAAUACAGUCGGGGGAUGACGGUACCGGAAGAAUAAGCACCGGCUAACUACGUGCCAGCAGCCGCGGUAAU